UCCCAAUUCCCGGACCAGGCCUAGCCCUGGCUCCUAUUGUCUGGUUCUGAGUCCUGCUCCACAAAUGGGCAGCUUCUGCCUUGGGCUUUGGGGGUUGGGCCGGAAGCUGAGGACGUCUGGGAAGGGGCCGCUACUGUUCUGGAGCCGCCUCUGCGGGGACUCUUUGCAGGCCAGCCCCGCCAAGAAGGCCCGGGCCAAGCAGGAUGAACCCGGGACGCCACCCUCCUCGCCGCUGAGCACGGAGCAGUUGGACCGGAUCCAGAGGAACAAGACCGUGGCCCUCCUCAGACUCGCCGCCCGCAACGUACCCGUGGGCUUUGGGGAGAGCUGGAAGAAGCACCUCAGCGGGGAGUUCCGGGAAACCGUAUUUUAUCAAGCUAAUGGGAUUUGUUGCAGAAGAAAGAAAGCAUUACACCGUUUAUCCACCCCAACACCAAGUAUUCACCUGGACCCAGAUGUGUGACAUAAAAGAUGUUAAGGUUGUCAUCCUGGGACAGGAUCCAUAUCAUGGACCUAAUCAAGCUCACAGACUCUGCUUUAGUGUUCAAAGGCCUGUUCUGCCUUGGCCCAGUUUGGAGAACAUUUAUAAAGAGCUGUCUACAGACAUAGAGGGUUUUGUCCAUCCUGGCCAUGGAGAUUUAUCUGGGUGGGCCAAGCAAGGUGUUCUGCUAUUCAACGCUGUUCUCACGGUUCGGGCACAUCAAGCCAACUCUCAUAAGGAGAGAGGUUGGGAGCAAUUCACCGAUGCAGUUGUGUCCUGGCUAAAUAAGAACACGAAUGGCCUUGUUUUCUUGCUCUGGGGCUCUUAUGCUCAGAAGAAGGGCAGUGCCAUUGAUAGGAAGCGUCACCAUGUCCUGCAGACGGCUCAUCCCUCCCCGUUGUCAGUGUAUAGAGGGUUCUUUGGAUGUAGACACUUUUCUGAGACUGGCAAGAAGCCCAUCGACUGGAAGGAGCUGUGGUCAGUAGCUGAGAGGCGGCCUGUCUCCAAUGGUUUCUUUUGAGAAGCUGCUGUUAACGUUUUUGUCAGUUACGAAGUUCCAUUGAAAAUUUUCCUAUUAAUUCUUAAGUACUCUGCAUAAGGAGGAAAAGCUUCCAAAAAGCAGCCACAAACAGCAAAGGCUACCCUUUGACCAAAUGUCUUUCUCUGCAACAUGGCUUCGGCCUAAAAUAUGCCAACUUGUCACAAGACAGAUGAGGUCAAAUACUCAGUUGGCUGUCUUUGUCUCCCUUGCCUUUUAUGGUGAACGCGAGGAGAUGUGCACCUUUUAGUCACAGCCCUAGUUUGGUGCCUGCUGUUCGUAGUUUUGCCUGUUUCAGUGACAAGUGUUGGGGUGUUACUGCUUAGAAACGUCCCUUGUCUCAGCCCUGCAGGGCAGGCAUGCCAGUCUGCCUGUUCCACUGCCCCCUUGAUCUUUGAAGGAGUCCUCAGGCCCCUCAAAGCAUAGGGAUGUUUUGCAAGUUUCCAGAAUCUGGCCCAGAAAUUAGGGCUCAAUUUCCUGAUUGUAGUAGAGGUGAAGAUGCUAAGAUUGUUGUGAGCCCUCUCAGAUGGGCUGAGGGGAGUAAGCUGGGUCUUGUUAUCCCUUGAGUGUUGGUGGAAUAAGCAGUGGAAUUUGAACAAGGAAGAGAAGAGGGAAUUUUGUCUUUAUGGGGUCGGGAUGAUUUUCUCCGUGGGUUAUCUCCAGUUGGGGUUUUUAGGGCACCAAGGACUGUCAAGUGCUGUUUUUUUUACCAACUGAAAUCACUUUGGGAUAUUUUUUUCUGCAACACUGGAAUGUUUUAGAUUUUUAAGAAGUACUCAUGCAGAUAUAUAUUUUUUCCCCAAUCCUUUUUUUAAGAGAUAAUCUUUAUUGGGUCUACACCUCCAUCCUUGAUCUUGUUAGUGAUGCUGUUUUGCUGUUAGUCGGGUUAGAGUUGGCCCUAUGCGGGGUUUGGUAAUAAAAGAUUGUUUAAAAAAAAAAAAAGCGAGAAAUUGGUCAAAUGAGACCAAUUUCCUGCUAAGAACAUAUUUCAAUGUUAUUACAAUGAUUUAUAUAAUUUUUUGAAAAUCUGACUGCAACCUGUCUUUCAUUCUCAACUAAAAUAUUUGCCACCUUUGCUAUCUAGGCACACUAUUCUCUUUUCAUUUUCUUCGACAUAAAAAUUAUUUUCCAGCUCAGGACCAUUGCAAACGCUAUUUCUGCAUCCAGGAUUAUUAACAUCCAAAAUCUUCAUUUAGGUGGGUUAUUAUCUUUUCUUUUUUAUCUUAAAUAUUAUCUCUUCAAUGAAGCUUUUGCAGAUCAUUCUAUAAAAAGAUAGUUUUUAUUUGUGUCCAAAGCAUUCAAGUAUGCAUUGUUUAUGUCUACUUACCUCAAUUUACAAUUUAUGGUGUUGUUUUUGUUGUUUUGUUUUUGUUUUACAUUAGAUGCUAAAGCAGAGUCCACAUUUUCUUUCUUCACCACUAAUAGCCAGCAUUUGACAUAGUAGCUGAAAUACACUAGGUAUA